CUUUUCUGAUCUACCUGUUUCUUUUCUUGUAGAAACUCACGUAUUCACUUACUCAGACAAAUUGGUGCGGGCAAUUCCAUCAUUUUUCAAGAUGCUGACUUUUAAUGCAAGACUGCAAUUGUUUAACCAGGAUGGUAUCAUGUUUCUCUGUCUUGAUGUAGUUGCUAUGGCGCACUAGUUUGAGACCAGCAAGGGAUAACAACCAAGUGAAAGAUUAGGAGAAAUGCGAGAGACAACAUUUUCUUUCAGAAGCUCCUGUUACAUCUCUAAUAAAAAAUAACUUCAUCACUAACAUGAUAAAAAACGACAAUUAGUUAAACUGCUAGCUCAGAACGGCAGGAGCAUUAUAAGUAGAACGUAAAAUAUUUAGUUUGGUAUAUAAAGACACGAUAAUCCUCUGAAUAAGUUUAGAUAAUUAAUUUAAACUGCCAAAUGAAAAUAAAUUCACUUCUUAAUCUUA